rnacentral:rRNA from 1 species
UGAUAUAUAUUCAACGGCCGCGGUAUCCUAACCGUGUGAAAGUAGCGUAAUCAUUUGUCUUUUAAAAAAAGACCUGUAUGAAUGGCACAACGAAGGUUUAACUGUCUCACUUUCUCUGUCAAUGAAAUUGAUCUCCUUGUGCAGAAGCAGGGAUAAGAACAUAAGACGAAAAGACCCCGUGGAGCUUUAGGGUAAGAACAGCUACAUUCAUAAUACAAUUAUGCAACUACGCUCCCUACCCUUCGGUUGGGGAAACCAUGGAGAAAAAUAAAACCUCCACAAAACACAUCAAAACCACAUCAAGCUUGAAUCAACAGUUCUAGUUUUCAAAACAUUUGUCCAAUGACCCAGAAACUCUGACCAAUGAAACAAGUUACCCCGGGGAUAACAGCGCAAUCCCCUUUCAGAGCUCGUAUUAACAAGGGGGUUUACGACCUCGAUGUUGGAUCAGGACAUCCAAACGGCGCAACCGCUGUUAAAGGUUCAUUUGUUCAAUGAUUAAAGUCCUACGUGAUCUGA